rnacentral:piRNA from 1 species
GCAGGUGAGGACCUGGCUCAGCAUGGGCAUU